CUUCUGGGAGCAAUGCAUACCAUCUCUUUGCUGAGGACCCUUGAAGAGGUUAAGUGACCAACCCAAGAUCACAAGACUGAUGAAACCAGUGCUUGAACUCAAGCUUCUGAUUCCGAGUCCAAUCUUCUCUUUCCACUGCAUAAAGAUACUCGAGUCUCUUAUCACCACCAACACCAAGUGAUGGCUUAUAAAGAUCAUCCUUAGGGUCUUUCCCCCUCAAACGUGCUAUCAUUCAGUAACUCUAGGAUCCUUGUUAAAAAAAAAAAAAAAACGGGGGUUGCGGAGAAGGGAUUGAAAUAUCUCCUCUCCCUGUCUUCACCUCCUCUGAUGAAAUCUGAUUUUAUUCUGUGAUAUGUAAGACCUGAAUGAAGGUGACUGAAGUAAUUGGGUACAUGGUUAGUGGUGGAAUCCGGAUGUGAACCUGAGUCAUGGUCUUGCCAUUGUUCCUUGAAGACAGGAAAUAUUUGUAAAUAUAUUUGGAAGCAACUUUAAAAUUGUUGCAUGUGGUUGGGUCUAACAGAAUCACUUGAAUGAAGAGAAAAACAUAACUUUUUCCUGUGAAUUUUCAGGGAAAUGCAAUUAUUUCCUUUCACUUGGUAUAAAAGCUCUUCAGAGGAAUAAAGCAUGCAUGAGCCAACACAUGCAGAGACAAUUGAGCCUUUAGUCGCAACUCAUGCUCUAGUUAUAAUGUGUUUUUAAAUUCCAUGAUAGCUACAGAGAAGGAGGA
rnacentral:lncRNA from 1 species